AAUGUAACCUUUCAAUUUUAUUUAAAUCUUAUGUGCAGAAAAUCUUAGUUCUUGUGAUUAUUAUUUCUCCCCUUUUCCCACAUUUUCAUUCUGAAACGUUUCAGACCUACUUGCAAGUACAGUCCCAAGAGCACUUGUGCAACCAGUAAGAAGAUGACCAUCUGUGGACAAGGAAGCAUGCCCUCAGCAGGCAAGGGUUGGACUGCCUGGCCUCCAGAACUAUGAGAAAUAUGUGUUAUUAAAGCUCCCUGGUCCACAGUAUUUUUGUCACAGUUGCCUGAAUGGACCACGAAACUACCUGCUGGAAGACGAUGGAGUUGCCACGAUUUUGCGGGAAGAGGAGUAGCUCUACCUGCAUUGCUGCUUUUCUUGCCUAGGCUCUAGGAUAUAUCUGAGCUUCACUCCCCACAACAUACCCAAAGGAACAGAGAGAACCGGGACAUCCCUGCAGAGACCCAGAACUGAUCUGACAGAAUGGCAUCUGAUGACUUUGAUGUAGUGAUUGAGGUCAUGCUGGAAGCUCCCUAUAGAAAAGAAGAGGAUGAGCAACAAAGGAAAGAAGUCAGGAUUAUCCCAGCAAUACCACCAGCAGCACCAGCCACAGUGGCAAUGGGACAGUGGAAGCAGCACCAUCAGGGAGAUAAGCAAGCAAGAGGACCCCUGAUUUGGAAACACCAGAUGCCUGGCAGCUUUCAGGGCUGAAGAAGGGGAGUCGGAGCCAUAGUAGAAGCAGGGAUAGAAAGUGCAGUCGUAGUCGAGACCAGGAUCAGCAUAGACACAGAGACAGUCAGAGUCAAGGUCGAGAUCAGCAGCAUCGUCACCGUGCCGUAGCUGGGGUCGUCGACAUAGUGAGCCGCGAAGUCGCGACCGUCGCCGUGAGGAUCGUGUGUGCUACAGGAGUCCUCCACUUGCCACUGGCCAUAGGUGUGGACACAGUAAGAGUCCUCACUUCAGAGAGAAGAGCCCAGUCAGGGCGCCAACUGAUAACCCGAGUCCUGAGGAGCGUGAUGCCCGCACAGUUUUCUGUACGCAAUUAGCCGCCCGCAUGAGGCCUCCAGACCUGGAGGACUUUUUCUCUGCUGUAGGCCAGGUUCGUGAUGUACGUGUCGUCUCAGAUCGGAACUCAUGCCCUCCUAAGGGCAUUGCCUAUGUGGAAUUCUGUGAAAUCCAGGCUGUGCCACUGGCCAUUGGGCUAACUGAGCAACGGUUGCUGGGAGUGCCUAUCAUGGUACAGGCUUCACAGGCAGAGGAAAACCGACUGGCAACCAUGGCCAACAACCUGCAAAAGGGCACUGGUGGACCAGUACGCCUCUACGUGGGUUCCCUGCACUUCAGUAUCACUGAAGACAUGCUCCCAGGCAUCUUUGAGUCCUUUGGUAAAAUUGAUAAUAUUGUCCUGAUGAAAGACUCAGAUACAGGCUGCUCUAAAGGUUAUGGUUUCAUCACGUUCUCUGACUCUGAGUGUGUCCGGCGGGCCCUGCAACAGUUGAAUGGCUUUGAACUUGCUGGUCGACCUAUGAGGGUUGGCCAUGUGACUGAGCGACUGGAUGGUGGCACAGACAUCACUUUCCCUCAUGGGGACCAGGAGCUGGAUCUGGGAUCAGCAGGUUUGCAGCUUAUGGCCAAACUGGCAGAAGGCUGUGGAAUCCAACUGCCAACUGCCACUGCUGCUGCCGCUGCUGCUGCCACCACCCACGCUGCUGCCGCCACCCAAGCUGCUGCCUCGCAACUGAAUGGAGCAGUUCCCGUGGGCGCCUGAACCCAGCAGCUCUGAUUGCUCUGAGUCCAGCCCUGAACCUUGCCUCCCAGUGCUUCCAGCUCUCCAGCCUCUUUACCCCCCAGACCAUGUAAAUUGGUGGCACGGUGGACUGCCUCCCUGUACCUCUGGGUCCUGCUACUUCACAUCUACUCUUCCAUGGCCCCAUCUCUCCAUUUUGUGGACCAAGCCAUCCUGAGGGCAUGGACAUUGUCUCUGAGGGAAUUGGGACCACCCUUAAGACACCAAGAAGAGCUCCUGCUCAUGGCCCCACUGGAAACGGACUCUGCUGAGCAAAGCGCUCAGUUGAAGAAAGCAGAGUCUACACCUGCAUUGAGUACCUGUUUCUCCUUGUGUAUUGUCUCUGAGAUGACCUUCUUGCCCUUUCCUACACCUUAAUGAUUCCUCAAUUCCUCCCCCAUUGGGAAGGCCGUAGGGCAUUAACUGAAGGCACUGACCUCUCUCCUUUUCCUGUACCUUCAUCCUUCUUUCUGUCAAGGAAGACCCUUAGGACCUGUGAAUCAAGAGAACUGAGUUUGUGGGGUGAGCCUUGAAGGUGCUCUUUUUCUGCUAUUAGGGCCCUGGAAGAUAGCAUGGAUUCGUGCAUUGAGAAGCCAACCUCAGACCUCAGCUUGAUGCAGCUUGAGGCCAGACCUACUGUAGACUCAGCAUCUUGCUAGGAGGCAUGGGAGUGAUCUAUCCUGCCAGGCAUUUAGGGGCUUUCAGGAAUUUAGUAAGAGGUGGAGUGUACCUUUCCAGUGUCUUCUAUCUUCCUUUGAAUACUUGUCCUUCCUCCCACGUCCUCCCUUUGGCCCAGGGUGGGAGGAUGGAGGGAGGCUGCUGCUCUCUACCACUUCCUGUGUGCCUCUACUGUGGCCUCAACCCUGGCAGCUAAAGCUGCUCCCAUUUCCCACCUGGGCGUGUGUGAGCCCCUCUCACUGGAUUUUAUCCCCUUGUGUCUGUGUACAUAAAUACGUGUGUGUGUGUAUGUGUGUGUGUGUGUGUAUAUAUAUAUAAACUUUGUACAAAAGGCAAGCCUCCUCCUUGUGGCAGCUGUGGCCUAUUUAUGUGUGGUCUCUGUUGUGUGUCUGUCUGACAACUUCUUAUGAGCCCAAACCAUGAUGUUUCUAGGGAUUAUAAAAGAUUAGUAACA